GGGUGAUAGCAUAAUUCCCUAAUACUUAUCUUGAACUCGGCGAUUGCCGAUGUAUGGAAACUUUUGCCUUCACAGCUUAAAAGCAUGGAGAGGACUUGCCCCUAUAUAGCUCAUCAUGCCCCAGUGUGCUGGGUCUUUGAAGAAGUUUACCUUGAAUGGAAGUUUGGAAGCAUUGUACUGUAGCGGUAAAUUCAUGACCAUUAAGCUAUGGAUAAACUUAAUGUCAACAAAAC
rnacentral:lncRNA from 1 species